UCCACUCCAUGAAAAACUGAAGGUAAAGGAGAUGGAGGUCAUGCCAUUUCUGUACAACUUAGAGAUGGAAAACAUUGAGGCCCACAAGAACAACCAGGAGCUCAAGAAGGAGAUUAACUUUUAUUGCAGUUUACACAGCUGGAUCCUGAUGGAGAAGAAUCUUAUGAAGAAGAAAUUGUUCUUGAUGAACCAGGAGAACAAGGAAGUUCAGGGUGAUUGGGCCCUCAUACAACAAUACUUGCUUGACUUGAACCUGAAUGGUAAAGAUGAACAUGAGAAGACCAGCAACGUCCAGGACCAACAACAUCAAGUCUCAGAAACUGCAACAGCUGGGAUUGGCCAUAGCAGAAGAAGAGAGCAUCCUGCAGAAUGAGUUGCCACCUCAGGAGCCCCCUGCUGAGCUCCAUCCUCCCCCCACCCCCUAACAGCCCCAGAC